rnacentral:rRNA from 1 species
CGGAACGGGUGGAGUAACAACGUGGGCAACCUGCCCAAAAGAAGGGGGAGUAACACUUGGAAACAGGUGCUAAUACCGCAUAACCAUAGUUACCGCAUGGUAGCUAUGUAAAAGGUGGCUAUGCUACCGCUUUUGGAUUGGCCCGCGGCGCAUUAGCUAGUUGGUGGGGUAAAGGCUUACCAAGGCAAUGAUGCGUAGCCGAACUGAGAGGUUGAUCGGCCACAUUGGGACUGAGACACGGCCCAAACUCCUACGGAAGGCAGCAG